AGAGUUUGAUCAUGGCUCAGAUUGAACGCUGGCGGCAGGCUUAACACAUGCAAGUCGAGCGGGGAAAGGUAGCUUGCUACCUGACCUAGCGGCGGACGGGUGAGUAAUGCUUAGGAAUCUGCCUAUUAGUGGGGGACAACAUCUCGAAAGGGAUGCUAAUACCGCAUACGUCCUACGGGAGAAAGCAGGGGACCUUCGGGCCUUGCGCUAAUAGAUGAGCCUAAGUCGGAUUAGCUAGUUGGUGGGGUAAAGGCCUACCAAGGCGACGAUCUGUAGCGGGUCUGAGAGGAUGAUCCGCCACACUGGGACUGAGACACGGCCCAGACUCCUACGGGAGGCAGCAGUGGGGAAUAUUGGACAAUGGGGGGAACCCUGAUCCAGCCAUGCCGCGUGUGUGAAGAAGGCCUUUUGGUUGUAAAGCACUUUAAGCAGUGAAGAAGACUCUAUGGUUAAUACCCAUAGACGAUGACAUUAGCUGCAGAAUAAGCACCGGCUAACUCUGUGCCAGCAGCCGCGGUAAUACAGAGGGUGCAAGCGUUAAUCGGAAUUACUGGGCGUAAAGCGAGCGUAGGUGGCUUAAUAAGUCAGAUGUGAAAUCCCCGAGCUUAACCUGGGAACUGCAUCUGAUACUGUUGGGCUAGAGUAGGUGAGAGGGAGGUAGAAUUUCAGGUGUAGCGGUGAAAUGCGUAGAGAUCUGAAGGAAUACCGAUGGCGAAAGCAGCCUCCUGGCAUCAUACUGACACUGAGGUUCGAAAGCGUGGGUAGCAAACAGGAUUAGAUACCCUGGUAGUCCACGCCGGAAACGAUGUCUACUAGUCGUUGGGGAACUUGAUUCCUUAGUGACGCAGCUAACGCAAUAAGUAGACCGCCUGGGGAGUACGGCCGCAAGGUUAAACUCAAUGAAUUG
rnacentral:rRNA from 1 species